UAAACAUCUGUGCGCUUCUUGAAUGUAUGUCUGCCGCUCCAGAUCCAGCGGGAUCUCCACUCCGCUCCAGGGUUUCUCGCCGCCUUUCCUUAAAAGCACUCGCUGAGUUUAAAGCGCAGAAAAACACGGCAGCGGCUGCAGAAGCGGCAGCGGCGGAUCUCAUCGCGGACCAGUGUGUGUGAAUGAAAGUGUGCGUGUGUGUGUGCAGGAUGAUGGAGGACGAGCCGCGAGAGACCCUGGACUAACCAUUUUUGUUUUAUUUUGUACAUACAAAUGGAACCUGUUUGCGUUUCCGUCCCAGGCUGGAUGUUAUACUGAAACACUGUAGAUGAGAAAAUGCCGUUCUCCAAGCGCAUCGUGGAGCCCCAGUGGCUGUGCAGGCGCUCGGACACGGAGGACGAGCUGCUUCAGGAUUUGUGCGCCUUCAGUAACGUGGCUCUGUCCCGGACCCUGCGCCAGCUGUCGGACCUGGCCAAACACGCCUGCUCGCUUUUCCAGGAGCUCGAGAAUGAGCUGCUUUUCACGAACCGGCGGGUGUGCGCGCUCCGGGACACCGUCAACCGUAUCCAGGAGAACACCGAGGCGCUCGACCCCAAGCAGGAGGCAGUGCGUAAGUACCAGUUCUUCACCUUUAAAUCCUGUUUAUUAUGUUUAACAAGAAAGAGACAAGUUGACUUUGAAGAAAGGCCUUUUUUUACCAUUAGAAAACCUCUAGCGGUGGCUCAGUGGUUAGCACUGUCACCUCACAGCAGGAAGGUCACUGGUUUGAGUCCCGGCUGGGCAAGUUGGCAUUUAAGUGUGGAGUUUGCAUGUUCUCCCCUUGUUGGUGUGGGUUUUCUCUGGGUGCUCCGGUUUCCCCCACAGUCCAAACACAUGAGCUGAAGGUAAAUAGAAUAAGCUAAAUUAGAUGUAGUGAAUGAGUGUGUAAAUGAAUGUUUAUGGGUGUUUCCCAGUACUGGGUUGUGGCUGGAAGGGCACAUCAGUGAAACAUAAUUUUUUCUGACCCUGUACAACAAUAAUUACUGUUUUUACAUUACUGUGAGGGGGUUGGGUUAGGGGUAGACGUUAAUAAAAUACAAUUUAAUGGGUAAUUGAAUAAACUGUAUAGUGUAAACCCUUCGCCUUAACUUCCGUACAGAGCUGUAUCCCUUCUAGCAACAACCUGAUUAAGUGCGUGUCACUAUAGAUGUGAAUUCAGUAUGCACGCACACAUACACACUCUGACACAGAUGUUGAUUCACAUACACACACACGCGCAUGCAGGUUGGCAGGAGUGCAUGUGCGGGUCUUCUGGUGUGUGGUAGUUUCCAUGGAGACAGCGGGUUAAAAAUAACGGCAGAGACGGCUUCCCUGUGCCAUUCGCUGGCAUUCGAGUGCAGUGUUGUGAUGAUGAUGUGCAUGGAGGACGUAACACGCACACACACAGUGUGACGUCAUGUGGCCUGAUGAACACUGAGCGGCCGCUGUGGGUAUUUAUAAACCCUGCUGUCUGAGAAAAGUCUGACCACGCCAGAGGUUAGGACUCAGAAUGCACUCAUGAAACAUCUGACCUAACAUUAUGAUAUUUUUAUGUCUACACUAUAGGGUGAUAUGAAAUUGUAGAUAUGUGUUUGAUUACAAUGGUAGCAUUUGUCAUGUAU
rnacentral:lncRNA from 1 species